UGAUGAUGGUGAGGGCAAUUUCUGAGGAUAACCUUAAAUCUCUCCCAAGCUUGGUAGAGAUUCUCUCCGUCUUUAUGUCUAAAACUCAAGAUCUCACUCCUCAAGCG
rnacentral:snoRNA from 1 species